CUUGACCAGUACCUGCUCCAGACCUCAUCACAGCCUUGGUCCAAGUAUGAACCAAAGACCUUAAGAUCGUGAAGUCAGUAGUUUUUAUUCUGGGUUCUUCAUAUGAUGGAGACUGGAUUCACGUCUUGACGUUCAGCAAUGUACAAUGCCAUGGCCAAGAGUUUCGUUUACAUGGGAAUGGACCUCCAUCUUUAGGCAAGAUACUCCACAACAUAAGCUUGUUGGUGCUUAACUUAAAGGAGAUCUUCCUUCAGCGGGUCCCAGCCUGGUGCAGAGAACCUGACUCAGGACUGCUGUAUGUGAUUUUGGAAGUGCACAUUUGCACCACUUGUUUGUGGAAUGCACAAGUCAGUGAUGGUGAAAAUCGUUGGGUGGAACAACAAACAGUGUUCACAAUUACUGGUAUUGAUUGUCUAAGCCUCUUGAAGAAUCUGUGGAGUAUAUAAACGCGGGCCUUUCAUACAGUGGCAAAGGAUCAUGAAGUCUCAAAAUAUCCAACUCCACAUGACAAUUUUUUAAUCAUCAAUGGACACCCUGGGCUAUGUCUUUAAGCUGUUGGAUAAACAAUGUCGGGGGAAGAUACAAAAGCCUGAGAGCACGUACGACCAGAGUCAAGGACAGAUUCUAUCCCGCUGUUAUAAGACUUUUGAAUGGACCUCUCAUACGCUAAAGGAUGACCUCCUGAUCUCCCAACCUACCUCUUCAAGGCCCUUGCAUUUUAUUUGUUUAUCUGCACUGCACUUUCUCUGUAACUGCCACACUAUAUUCUUCAUUCUGUCUUCUUUUUACUACCUCAGUAUAAUUAUGUAUGGAAUGAUCCGUCUGCAUGUCACGCAGAACAAAAGCUUUUCACUGUAUCUCGGUAAAUGUGACAAUA